UUAAAAACAUGUUCUAUGUCAGUCAUGACCAUACCUGGAAAUGCAGUUACGAUUGUUAAUUCAAGCUGAUAACGAAGACAAGAUAAAAAGAUUACUGCAGUGAUCCACGAUUUCAAAGCUACAAGGACGCCAGAGAGAGAUCAUUAACCUUUUUAGAAAGAGCAAGAGGAGAAGAGCUGGAAAACAUGGCAGACUCGACAAUAACCUUGUAUGAGAGUGAACAAUUUGGAGGAAGUCGAAAGACUGGCAUAAAAGACGAAAUACUGGACCUUAGCCAACCCCCUGUGAGUUUUGCAUCUGGAGCUUCUAGUAUCAAAAUCGGAGCCAACGCUGGAAAGUGGCAGGUCUUUACAGAAAAAGGUUAUUAUGGACCCCACCAAACUUUGAUCCCUGGGAUAGAGUACCCCGAUUUGCAGUCCAUGAAAAUCAGUUCCCCUGUCUAUAGCCUUCGUAAGGAUGUGUAGAAGACAGCACCGAAGACUGCGUGGAAGUUCUCUGAGGCAAUCUAACUAUGUUAAGAAACUUAAAGUAAAAAUAAAUCCAAGAUUGUUCUUUUGUUCUUGUAAUUUGCAAAAAGCUGUCCACGGUCUAAUAAAAUACUGUUAAUCUUCCACCUG